GCGGAUGGCCGGAUGACCGCGUGGGUGCGUGCACUCGCGAGGAAAGUCCGGACUCCACAAGGCAUCGGUGCCGGGUAACGCCCGGCGGGGGAAACCCCAGGGAAAGCGCCACAGAGAACAGACCGCCCGCCCUGCGGCGGGUAAGGGUGAAACGGUGGGGUAAGAGCCCACCGGGGGGCUGGUAACAGACCCCGCAUGGCAAGCCCCACCGGGAGCAAUGCCGAAUAGGGACCUUGUGCCCCGGCAACGGGGCAGGGCGGCCUUGCCUGAAAGGUCCGGGUUGGCAGCUAGAUCCCGUCAGCAAUGGCGGGCCCAGAGGAAUGGUCAUCCAGAGGGGGCAACCCCUUGGACAAAAUCCGGCUUACAGGCCAUCCGCGCGC
rnacentral:RNase_P_RNA from 1 species